ACGGCCCGCAAAAUGGCCGCCCCCGGGGCCGCGACGCGCAGGGUGCGGCGGGGCGGCUGCGCGCCCGGAUCCGGAUGGGAGCCGGGGCCGUGGGGAGGUCGAGAGUGCUGCUGCGCCGCCCCCGCGGCGGUGCCGGGGUGAGACGGAAGGCUUCUCCGCCAAGGUGCGGCCGCGGCAGCCGCUCUCCUCCGCCCGCCUCGUUCCUGGGGCGGCUGCAGGGGGCGGUGGCAGCGCCCGUCCCUAGGGGUCACCGUGGCUUCUGUCCGGUGGCAGCGCCUUCCGCGGGGGGCCGCCGGCGGGCGUCUCACGGGCCGGCCGCGCUCGGAGCGGCCGCUCCUGCCCCCGCAGCGGGGGCUGGUGGACGGGGCAGCGCGGCCCGGGGGCUGGUGCGUGGCGGCCAGCGUGCUCGAAGCGGCUGUCUGCGAGCCUCAUCAGGGGCUGGCUGCCUCGCCUGGCCGGCACUCCGAGGACAGGCCUUCGUGAGCAUCUCUCUGCGGGAGCGCAGGCAAGCAGCUAUUCUGGGCACAGCUCUCAACUUUUCAGGAAUUUAGUCUCCUUUACGCGUGUUUGCAUUUAGAAACACCUAUCCCGAUACGUAUUUGUGGUCUAAUGCACGCUAGGUUUGGUUCUGAGCUCUGAUUUGUUGUAAUUGCAGCCACUGUUAGCUUGAUGAGGGACACUUCACGUACCACUUAAGACUGAUCUAGGUAGCCAUUACAGAAAAGGCCGUUCAAGGAUGAAGGAGAUGCAUUGCAUCGGUUGCACAAAGUAGUGACCUGUGCUAUGCUUGGAAUUUUUCAGAAUAAAGCUUCUUCACUGUUGUUGUUCAGUUGUAGGUCGGCGGUUAUCUUUUCUGAUUGAAAAUUAUUAGUCAAGGUUGUCAAGUGCACCGAGUGAUCCAGGCUUUUUGGAUGGUCUGGAGGUGAAGCAGCAUGGGUUUGUUGGGGUUUUUCGAUGUAUGUCAUCUCUGUGGAGAGAUGAUAAAGAUAUAAUCUAGUGAGAUUCUGAUGCGGGCAGGCAUAGAUUUCUGGGAUUUACCAGAAAUAGAUUUACUUCAGUGUUGAUAGUCAUAAUAACUUGCAUCUUACCUUUUGGAGUGGAAGCAGGAGAAAAAAAUAAUGGCACUGCUUUGGAAGCAAUGUUAAGUUUUAGAUUAAGAUAGCAGUGAGAGAGAUAUAUAGUGCUUAAGCAAGUACUUGUUUUUUUUAUUCGAGUUGUUUUCAUCAGUUAGUUGAUUUUUUUAAAAACAGAUUUAAUAAAAACAUGUUUUUAUGGAUUUCGUUCAUAUACAUCAGUAUAUGAAGAGAUUAGUCAAACAUUUAUUGUUUUGAAAUAGUGGAGCUCUUGAACAUUCGUCUAUAGUUUUUUUACUUCUGAAGUACUGGUAUGGUCUUCUAAAUGGAUGGUGCCAGAUAACAUAAAGUAAGUGAUCAGUUAUGGUUAAUACUUCCUUUGGACAUCUCAGCUCAAGGGUUUUUUUGCAUUCAUAUGCUAUUCAAAAUCCCCCCCAAAAUAGCUGUGUGCUGCCAGUCCUGCUUUGUUCCAUGUUAGAACUUUUAAACUUACAAUGUGUUUUUAUUGAUACAUCUACUAUACUGCAACUGUAGAGGAUUGAGGCCAAGUAACUGAGGCCAAAGUGGUUUGAGGUAAAGUUACUUUGACUUGCCCAGUUUCCACUGUUGCAAGGUGUAUUUAUGCAAAUACAAGUGCUUAAAAAUGAAGUUUUAUCUUCCAACCAGUCUCAGUAAUAGAGGUGUUAGAGCUUAGUUAAGAAGUUUCUAUCCUCAGUCUGUUGACAGGAAAUUAUGGUAAUAAUUUAACAUAUAAUAAUAAAUAUAUAAUCUCAUGAAGCAUUUAUUAUAGAUCUAUAAAAUUGUAACAGUUACGUUGAAUUCUACUUGGAAUUAUAUAGUUGCACUUACAAUGGAAGUGUUAUAAUACUAGAAUACAUGGUUCUAUUAACUGGGUUUUGGUGUUUCUUUUCUUUUUUUUUUUUUUAACAGCUAUAGCUUUGAAGAGUUCCACAAUCUGUAGUUGAAAAAUGUACAGUAAAUGAAAAAAACACUCGAAAUUUACUUUGUGCUUUCCCACUGCAUGUUGCUCCUUCUGUAUGCACCUCUCUGUACCCCUUCAUUUUUCGUAAAUGAUAUUCUGAAGAAUUCCUUAAGGGUUAGUGAAAGUUGAGAUUAAUGAAAGCUAACAAUUUGAAGAAAAUUUAAAGACAUUUUCUUUUAAGUGGUUUGAGAACCAGUCAUUGAUUCAGUAUAUAACCUAUAUAUGUGUGUCACAGAUUGGAUGAAUUAGCUGUAACUUCUUUCUGCUUUACAGAAAUAUGCCAGAGACUGAAGUUAUCUGAGCAAAGCUGGAACCAGAAAGUCUUCUUAGAAACAACCAAAUAACAUGAAGAAUAAAACAAAGAGAUUAUGGUGAUCUGGUGACAAGCAAAAGAAAGACUAACUAACUGCAAUUCCUAGAGAAGGCUCCAGACUGCCAGCUUGUGGUGACAGUAGCAGCACUGGUGUAGUGAUAGUCUAAAGAUAGAUUCUCCAUAAAGUGUGCAGUCUGAGGUGCAAGUAUGUGAAAGAACCUGGUCAUUUGGCAAGGUAGCUGUUAGGAAAGUCUGUAUCAGGCAUCUUGACAGGAAGAAAUCAAAACUUUACCUAUUUAACUUCAGAAGUGUAACUUUUUUCCUUAUUUUUCUCCCCAUUUAUGCCUUUAUAAACUACUGUGAAUGAAAAACUUUUAUUUGCAUGUUUCACUGAAGUUGGAACAAAUGAAAAGUGGUCAGAUAAUAAAUGAAUAUAAAGAAGUAAUUUAUCACUCCAGUCCCUGCAGCAUACUGCAAGUGCCUGUAUCUCCAUUACGUCUUGUAGAAUAUCUGAAAAAUAAGAGAGCACGCUUGCAGAGAAGCUGUUUGGGUUCUCUGGAGAAAGGGUAUUGCGGGUUCAGAGGAGGAAACGUCACUGCAGUAAUCGUAAGUAACCAGCUCUGUUGUUCUUAAUAGUGAAGUGCACAUUGAGCUCAGGAGCUCCCAGGGAGGCUAUAACAAGCCUAAAAGCAGUUGGAAACUACGUAAAAUCCUUGUAUCCCUUCCCACUGUGACAGAAAUUACACAUAUUGCUCUGUCAAUAUUAUGUUACGUGUUAUUUGAGAAUUGUAGAUAUUCACUUGCUACAGACAGAGCUUUGUGGUCCCAGAGUCUUUCCAGCCUCUGAGCCUGUUCAUCUUAACCUGAUUUUUUUUCUUCUUUCCAUCAAUUUAUUUCUUGAUAGUAACAAUAACAUUGAUAUUGUAAUGAUUCUAUGAUUAGUACUGUCUUUGUGAAUUUGUGUACCUUUGAAAGCAUUAAAUGUUAAGAGUGGUAGAUUAAUAAUACCAGUGUUGGAGGGAUUAAGCAUUCUGCUGCUCUUACUUUGUUGUAGCAGAAUUAGGAAGUUCAAGUAGUUGUUUCCAAACCUGCCCUGAUAAGCUUAUUUUCCUUACUGAGCUACCUUUGGCUUCACCUCUAACAACUUCUGCAGCAGCGAUGCAUUUUCCAUUUCAAACUAUGAAGACAAAAACGGUAUUGGGAAAUAAUAGUUCUUAAAAACAAAGAAUUGCUGCCUCUUUUGUGCAAUGAGGUAACAUCAUUUUAUAAAAGGGUCUCUUCUCCUUCCUGUAUAGACUCCAGUCUUUUUCCAGGAUGCUAUCUAGACAGUGUCAACUUAACGAUCCAAACCUUAAAACUGAAGUUAGAAGUACUAAAUUUGGAUGUCUAACAUAGUAACACAGGAGUACAAUUUCUAAGAACACAACGUAGGAGAGUACUUACAUAUUUAACAUAAAUACCUCAUUACCUGCAGUGGGCUCUUGGCUCUGCUCAUCAGAUCUAAGCUGUCAAGUGCUCAGAAAAUAAAGAAUGAGCAAUUACACAGUAGUGAGCAACUUUAAACAGCAUUCACUGCCAAAACCAUGAUGACUUUGUGUUUUUAUAUUAAUGACCUCAUUUGUUACAAAUACAACCUGUCUAAUCUGGUUAUCAUCCUGGAUUUAUAGCACAGCAGAGGUGUACAUCAGUGAAUUUUUGACUUGGGGUUGAGCAUAUGAGAGCGUGUUCACAGGUUUUAUCCAUAUUGUCUUGUGAGGACGGUGCUGGAAAAUGGCUUUCAGAAGCACUUGAUUUAGAAUUCCUAUUCUGGCAGUGUUUUGAGCCUGUUGAGAUUCUGUCUGCAUUAUGAAGCCAUGUUAUUUAUCAGAACUUUUAUACAUGCAUGAGUUUGGAAGAUCUCUGUCGUGGCCUGCAUCAGUCACUGGUGGGCAUGUCUGAGACAAAGAAAACUUGCAUAAGACUCAUUACUAUUUAUUAACUGAUGCAUACAAGUCAGGUCUCUCCAAACAGAGGAAACUGUGAGCCAUGUCCCAUUCUCUUGUUUCUUUGGGCUUUUUUUGUAGAUGUCAUUUGUUAAGUCUUGUUUCUGACUUAUUUUUUCCUUCCCAGGCUUUUCUGUCACCUUGCUUUGUAGCAAUUCAUCAUGUAAAUAAUGAGACAAGAUGUUAAUUCUGAGUGAGCCCAUCUAUUCUGGCAUUUCUUCUGUGGUAAACGACUAUCUAUUCUAACAGAAAAGCUUCAUCCCCUGCAUACUGUCUUAGUCAUCUGCAAACCAGUGCCCAUAGAGGUGAACUCAAGCAUCACCUUUCAUCAUGCUACAGUUAUGACCACAUACGGUAAAGAGUGUCUUAUAACUGCAGAACUGCAAAGGUACGUGAUGUUAAAGGAUUUAAGAUAGAUAAUGGAAGGGUAAGUAAGGCACAAAGUAGGUUUCCCUGUCAAUUGUGUAUCUCAUCAAAGUGGUUAAUAUAUCAUUCUGUCUGCAAGUGACAGUCUACAUACCUCUUCUUGCAGUAGGUGACUCAAAGCAGUAGUUCCCACGAAUGCUUAAAUGGAAAUGGGGUAAGGGCCUUUGCAUAGCAGCUGUACAGCUUAAAACCACUCUGUCAAAUGAUCUUAAAGAAUUAUCUGUAGAUAACAUUCCAUAGGAUUGCUUAGUGGAUGCAACUCACAGGAAUUUCUUAGCAAGCACACUGAUGUGGCUUGAGUUCUGGUAGGGCUCUGUCUGUCAGUUCCAUAAAAGGCAUUGACAUAGCCUCCAGUCUGUUUUAAAAUUCAUGUUUUGGUGAAGACCAUUUGUGUCAACGUGAACUGUUCUGAAGAUCUAAAGGGUCAUCAUAUGAUUUUAUAAAUAAACAAUCACUUUGAGAAUGAGGGACAUGAUACAUGCAGGAACAAAGAGUUAGUGAGGCCAAAAGAAGCAAAUAUCUUUAGUUCCUUAGGAGUUGGUGAACAUGGAUGAGACUUAGUAUUAUUUCAUCUUCAUUCAACCUUUUGCCAUGGUAUGGCUAUAGCUACGGGAUCACAGGAAUGAAAAGGAAAAUGCAGACAAUUCUUCCAAAACAGAGAUGAAAGAAGAUAUUCAGUAAAUGUGUAGGGGUAAAAAGGGACAACACUUUUCUUCCAUAUUUGAAGACAAAAAGUCAAACCCUGUUCAGGAUUUGUCAUCUAGAACUUUGGAUCACCGAGUCAAGUUUGAAAAAGUCAGCUUUUCUGGCUGAAGGAAGAUACCACAGCACCUCACAGACUAAAGAUAAACGGUGGUUUUGUUUGUCAUCGCACAGCUGUAGCAUGUCUUUUGAUGGAUUGCAGCUUCUUUUCUACAGUGCAUGCUGUUCUACCUUAGGUGAGGUUUGGUAACAAUCUUUCUUUUGAGAACAGCCAAUCUUGCAGAGUCACACUUGUGAGUACUUUAUCAGUGCCAUAUACCACAAAUCAGUGAGGUAAGUGAAAUCAAAAAGUGUCCCCUUGCAGGAUGAGAGGAUCAUGGUAAUGUUGUGUCUUAUGAAAACAUUCUGGAGGGGAAUACUAAUGGGUCUGAAGGUAUAUACUAUAUAGUGUAGAAGCCAGACUUAAACUUUAUAGGGAUAGAUUGUCUUGAGGCAUCACAUGACUUAGCAAGGUUAGGUAGAUUUGUCAUUGCAUUAGGAAGAAGAUCCACACACACGUUAUAGCAGUCCAAAACCUAUCUUGAGAAGGAAGGGUUCUUGCAGACUCUGAAGAACAUGUUGAGUCAGCUUUGUCUCUUGCUUGUCCUUUCACCAGCCUGCUGUUCAGACAAGGAGAGAGAUACAGAAUUCCAUCUAGGGAAUAUCAGCACCACUGCCAGUAUUUAAGUACUUUGGCGAGUCUGAGUUGAUUGUGAUCUGUAAAACAAAUGUGAUACUAUGUGGAUGAUAACACUUCAGCAACCUAGAAAUGUGUCUCAAAGCAGGUAAAUAGCAUUUGGUCAUUUACACGGUCUUUGUAUCUUUAAAUGUUUUUCUUGAGAAUUAGGUAACUAGUGCAAGUGAAGGCUUGUAGGCAGAAUAUACUUUUGUGGAAGUUUUCCAUGUAGAGCGAGUCUGCAGUGGCAACUUGGCUCUUGAGGAAAAACGUGACGAUGUCAAUUAGGGGUGUGAAAAUUCUGAUGGACUCGGACUGAAGUCCCAUGCACAUGUUGAGCUAGUGCCAAAAAAGAUGAUGAGGGUCUAAUUACUAUCAAACAGUGGUUCAAACUAUGUUUUUACUGAAAUUGUUUGUUAUCCCGGUAGAAUUACUUCUUCCUUGUCCAAAAAUAGGAUACGAUUUCGAGUUACCAAGGCUUAUUUGUAAGGUGGAAAAGGCAAAGGAAACAGAUAUUUUAGAUAAUAGAAGCAUGUGCUGAAGAUUGGUCAAAUGACUCAGAUAAUGCUACAUAUUCUUGUAUUUUGAAAUGAGUUAACAUGCUAAUAUUUAACAUGGAGGGGCUGAGAAUCCUGAUCUGUUAGUCUGUCAUAAGGUCAGUGAGAAAUGACAUGAAAGGGUAAGAAUCCUAAUACUGAACUAUGUGUUGAGCCUGCCCUGAUCUCUGUACCAUCACUCUGAAGUACCUACCAUAUCAAGGAAUGACAGACAUUCUGUGUGACAGCCUGGACAGUCCGUAGCAAAAAGUCCUCAUAGUUUCUAACUGAGAGGAUCAAGAACACCGAUGAACCCUGCCUGCACGUUAGAGGUGUGAGGUCGAGACACAGUCUCAGGUUCGUGAUGGGAAUCAGGAAAUGAAGUGCAGCAGUUCUUUCAAAUUCUGUAGAGAAUCUGAAGGGCAGGGAGGCCUUUCUGCAUUAGGCUGUUGUGGAUCAGAAGCUUUUCAUUUCAAAUCUGUUAGAUUGGGUUCUGGCACUGUAGUACACUGUGGUGAUUGAUUCAGGCUCUGCUAUGAGUCCUUGGUUGAUAGGUUGUGUGAAUCAAUGAUGCUGCUGCUGUCUUUUUAAUGAAAUCAUUUUGGAGCUGCCACUUCCUGUUUUUAUCACCUUACACCUUACAGGUGGAGUGGUUUUACUAAAUGUGUCCUAUGCACUAGGCAGGCAGAGCUGGAAGAUGAACCUCAAGAAAAUCUGGUAAGCAGAGCUUCUUAGAGAUAAUAAAAUACAAGUUUAAACUAGAAAAAGGAUGCAAAUACGAAUAAGGAACACUGUAUUAUUGAAGGGGUGUCCAGAUCUGGAAUGCUGUAGUCCGCCUGGCAGAAGAAAGCUGGAAAAGUACCAGACUUGUGCAUCAGACACUUAAGAGUAUGGUCACCAUCAAAUACUCUGGGGAAAGCUUAUUAUCAGUUACAAAGCAUUUGUAUAGCUGCAGGGCAGAUACACACAUGGAUUAUUGCUUAAAAGAGUGAUUUUUGUCAUAUUACUGUUACUAGCUUCUUGACAUUUUUAAUUUCUAGUCACUUUUAUACACUGCAUGCUAAUGUGUAUGAUAUAGUAUGCUGCUCCUUCUUUAAUACCUACCAUGAACUGGAUUCAAGUGCAACGGCACUACCUUAAAUUUAAUCAACAUGUUGUAAGGCUUCUGAGGUUGAUGGUACGAUCACUUAAGCAAUAUAACUGGAAAGUUGUUCCUCAGAGGUAAGUACACAAGUGACCAGAUGGCCUCUACAGUUCAUACCUUUUUUUUUUUAAUCUAUAAAUAUAUUAGAAACUGAAGUUACUGAGUCUGUCUGAUCCUAAAGAUCUAUUUCUACAGUGAAUGCACUGCACAAAUGUUGGCUAUUCUUUUAAGAGAUCAGUGUGCUUGGAUGGUCCCUGAUGGGGUAAAAAGGAGUUGGAAAGUACUUUGCCUAUUCUACAGAAUUUCCUUAGUGAAGUUACUUAAGCUCUCUGACCUUGAUUUGCUUUCUACAAGUAAUGACAAGUGUAUCUAUGUAUGAUUUCCUAGUCAUAAAUUUAUUGUAGGACCAAUUGCUGUUUGAGGCAAGCAAACACAGUAGCAGUAAAGGGAAAAAAAGGAAUCCCUAAGUAAUUUUGAAGAAAUGAGUGGUUGUUACAGAUGUGCAAAGGGAACCAUACCUGCUCGUAACCAUUUUGCUUUUUAUUACACUCAGAACUGUAUGACUGGCGGAGGCAAGUGUUUGUCUCAGGCUGGGCUAGCUAAAAGUUUGGUGGUUUUAUGAGCAUGUAAGUGCAGCUGCCUCACAGAAAUGUGUUGCAGUAAAAUACUCCAGAUCUUCAAUAUGACUGUAAUGGCUGUCUAAAAAUAAUACGUAACAAAGGGUGUCCUUCCCAGGGAGAGCCAGAAAUAACUUGCUUUUGCUUUGUCAAAAUGUAAGGCUAUUACCAGUUAAUUUACAAGCAGCAGCCUGACCCAGAGACCAUGCAAGAGCUAACCUUCAAGAAAAGCUUCGACGUAGGAAUCCCGAACUUGGACGGCCCCCAACGAAAUAAUAAAUGCCACUCGCUUGCA